rnacentral:rRNA from 1 species
GAUGAACGCUGGCGGCGUGCCUAAUACAUGCAAGUCGAGCGAACAGACGAGGAGCUUGCUCCUCUGACGUUAGCGGCGGACGGGUGAGUAACACGUGGAUAACCUACCUAUAAGACUGGGAUAACUUCGGGAAACCGGAGCUAAUACCGGAUAAUAUAUUGAACCGCAUGGUUCAAUAGUGAAAGACGGUUUUGCUGUCACUUAUAGAUGGAUCCGCGCCGCAUUAGCUAGUUGGUAAGGUAACGGCUUACCAAGGCAACGAUGCGUAGCCGACCUGAGAGGGUGAUCGGCCACAUGGGAACUGAGACACGGUCCAGACUCCUACGGGAGGAAGCAGUAGGGAAUCUUCCGCAAUGGGCGAAAGCUUGACGGAGCAACGCCGCGGGAGUGAUGAAGGUCUUCGGAUCGUAAAACUCUGUUAUUAGGGAAGAACAAAUGUGUAAGUAACUAUGCACGUCUUGACGGUACCUAAUCAGAAAGCCACGGCUAACUACGUG